GUUAUUCCAUCAAUAUCGAUUGCAACAAACAAAGAAACCGACUAUGUCUCAAUACAACACUAAUUAGGGCGGAUUGCAAUCUCAUAAACAUUUCUGCCACUGUAUCUGACGCACUUUGGAAGAUAAAGAGGUAUAUUCAUCAUGAAGGAAAAUGUUUUGUUUAAGCAAGUUUAAUAGAAUAAGAGUUGGGAUAGUAGCAAAAAACAAUGAUCCAGGAAAGAACUCCACAGACACGAUGCGUCGAUCAUAAGAACCAUGAAAUUAGUCAACUUGAAUCCAAAUGCAACAAUUAGUUCAUUAGCCACUUCACAUCCAUUUAACAGAAGGUUCUGUCAUUUUCAAAGGAUUAUUUACAAGAAUUUACUUCUUUGGAACACUUAGGACGAACUAGUUUUCAAACGAGCAAAUCAAGCCAAGUUGGCUACUACGAAAACUUAGCACAAUUAGAUAUCAUAUGAUUUCAAACAAAACAUCAUAGAAAAUUUCAGCAAACCUUUGUAUCUCAUUCUACUCAUCUCAAUAAUACUGAAUGAUGAAAAGAUAUUUCGAGUGUAAUCAAAUAAAAGGGAGAAAAGUGGAAAAGGAACAUGUUCAGCCAAAAAUUUUCUUAACAACUAAAUCUAGCAAGCUCAGCUACAACGCCUAGCUCCGAAAUCAAGCUCAAAUUAGCAGCAAGAGUCAAAUCGGACCGCGAGUUGCAGCAGGCUCGAAUGAACAUCGCCCCGAUCUCAAGCCCCCAUCACAUUUAACGAAUCCAUUUGAAAGAGCAUCGACUGACAACGUUUUCGUCUCAAUGAGCCAACUUAUAUUGAGUCUGAAAACAAUUUCAAGCAGAUUACAACAAACUUCUGAAGUGAAAAUAGCUACAACGCAGCAUUAGGAACCGUUAGCAUGAAUUAGGACUAUGAACUGGCAAAAAUAUUCAAUCGGACCAGACGAUUCUUAUCCCCAAAUCUCGGAGUAUAAAACUUUGUUACAACAAAAACUCAAAAUACAAACCAACAGAACUAUGAACUGGCCAACAAAACACUUUGUGUCUACCUUUUCAAAAAUACAAACCAAAUUUCCAAAAUAUAUGAAAAGUCUGAAAAUGAAGAGAAGAAUAAAAAACACUUUCACUAUUUUUAUUUUUUUGGAAACGGAAAAUUGAUUAGAAUUGAAAUUGCUUUCUAAUUACUAGAAUUUCAGCACUAUAAAAAUAAAAAUCAAACUUUCAAUUGAUAAAGUAUUUACUAGUACACAAACAGAAAUCGAGAAAAUGUUACAAUCAAAGCUCGACACAGCAAUCAGAUUCAACGGGAACAAGAAAUGCAUUGAGAGCGUCACCUCAACCUCGAUCGAACUCCAUGUUUUGAAGUAAAAUUUCUCGCUCUCUCAUUGUUGCUCUCUAUUCGCCUGGUUGUGCGUGUGUGCUCUAUGACGGGAAUUAGGGAAGGAGUCAAAGAAAUGUGAAGGGAUACAGUGGUUUCGAUUAGGAAUCAACCAUGAAUUUUGGCUCUCUUUUAUGAAGAAGCAGAUCCCAUCAAUGGGAGAGUGUGUUUUUUGGUCUCAGCUGCGCAGCUCUCCUCACUCUCCUGGC
rnacentral:lncRNA from 1 species